GUUUAUUUUUAUGAUCAUAGAUUCCAGGCUACAUCACGAAACAAAUUUAUUUUUUGGAUCGUCAACUCCAGGUUGCAUCACGAACAGUGGAUCGAGUUCCUUGGUGAUGGAUGGGGGCGCCAACAUUGAGAGUGGAGUGUGCAAUAGAAAAA